AUACUUACCUGGCAGGGGAGAUAUGAUCACGAAGGUAAUUUCCUCAGGGCGAGGCUCAUCCAAUGCACUCCUGAUGUGCUGACCCCUGCAAUUUCUCCAAAUGUGGGAAAUUAGACUGCAUAAUUUGUGGUAGUGGGGGCCUGCAUUUGCCCUCUCUCU